CAGCCCUGAGAUUCUGCAGCAUGAGGAGUGUCAGCUGGCUCUGGGCCACUUGGGCUUUUUCAGAACAGCUAAUGGGGCCUUUCAAAUGGCCAGUUUCCCUGCUAAAAAACAGCCCAAUGGUGGAACCAGAGAUGCUCCCAAGGAUGGAAAUCAGAGGGAGCAAGGAAGGAGGGAAACACACGCCCUUGGGAACCCCGGGCCAGGUGCGGCAACCGGCAGGACCUGGUGGCACACUAAGACCCAUGAGGCAUCCAAAGUGACCCACUGAUAGAGGACACACAGGAAAGGACUUGGUCCAGGCCACCAAGAAAGCAAACAAAAGUCCUUGUGCUGCAGCAACCUGUCAUUCAACCAACGUCUCCAAGAAGCUUCGUGAAACUCCCCUUAGAAACUGCUGCGGACUUCCAGGAAAGAUGGCACUGGUAGCUCAGCCUCGAGCACCCCCUCUGCUCCCAACACACAGCAGGGGUGGACCAAAUAGAAGAGCAGAAAACCAAAUUCUCAGGUCCAUCCAUCAUAGGCAAAAGUACUACACCUAGCCUCCCAUGUAAACAAUGACGAAAGUGGGCACUUAUGGGAAGCAACUCCCUCCAGGCUUCAGACAACACAGAGCAGAGCUGGGAUCCUGGAGGAAGGUGUCACAUGUCACACAGGCGAGUCCCACAUCCUCCCAGCCUCCCUGAUCAAGGACAUAUACAAAUGCUGGUCCAGGCAAGUGAAGUUCCAACAGCAGUGUUCUCACUGAGCAGAGGAAGCCAAAUAAAGGACAAAUAGAAUAUCGGUAAGGAAAUAGAAGUCACAAAUAACAUUAUCAACUAACUAAACUUGGUGUAUGUAAGACUCCAGACAAAAAUAUAAAAUUGCAUGGUAUUUUUAAUGUUCUCAUAAUAUUUACCAAGAUAAUUAUACUCUAGGUCAAAUAGGUCUCAAUACAUUGUAAAGAAUUUAAGUUUUGCAGAGUAUGUUUCGUGACCACAAUGGAACUAAAUUAGAAAGCAAUAUGGAAAGAUAUUGGGAAAUCACCAAUUAUUUGGAAGUUUAGUAAAAAUACUUCUAAAUUACACAGA
rnacentral:lncRNA from 1 species